rnacentral:rRNA from 1 species
GAUGAACGCUGGCGGCGUGCUUAACACAUGCAAGUCGAACGGACAGGCCCUGCUUUUGUUGGGUGCUCGAUUGCCGAACGGGUGAGUGUAACGUGUGUAUCAUGCACUUGUCUUUCUGGUAACUUCAGGAAACUCCGGCUCAUACCGGAUAUGAGCUCCUGCUGCAUGGUGGUCGUUGGUAAGUUUCGGCUGUUGUGGAUGGACUCGCUGCUUAUCCGCUUGUUUGUCGGGUAGUGGAUUACCAAGGGUUUGACGGAUAGCCGGCCUGAGAGGGGGGCCGGCCACCUGGGGACUGAGAGAGGGCCCAGAAGGCUACGGGAGGCAGCAGGGGGGAAUAUGGCACAAUGGGGGGAAGCCUGAGGCAGCAACGCCGCGUGCGGGAUGACGGGUUUUGGGGGGUAAACAGCUGUCGCCUUAGAUGAGGCGUGAGUGACGGUAAUGAGUAAAGAAGCACCGGCUAACUACGUG